rnacentral:rRNA from 1 species
GACGUAGGGCGCGAGCGUUGUCCGGAUUUAUUGGGCGUAAAGAGCUCGUAGGCGGCUUGUCGCGUCGUCCGUGAAAACUUGGGGCUCAACCCCAAGCUUGCGGUCGAUACGGGCAGGCUAGAGUUCGGUAGGGGAGACUGGAAUUCCUGGUGUAGCGGUGAAAUGCGCAGAUAUCGGGAGGAACAUCAGUUGCGAAGGCGGCUCUCUGGACCAGUACUGACGCUGAGGCACGAAAGCGUGGGGAGCAAACAGGG